GGUGAGUAGACAUCAAUACACAAUAUAAACAUCACUUGAUUUAAUCCCUAUUCUGGAAAUUGCCAUUUCCAUACUAUAAUGUAUUCUGUAGCCAGAAACAAUUGCUCAUCUAUACAGAGGAGAUUAGGCAUUACAGGUACAUGGUUUUAAUCCUCCUACUUCAUGCAAGAAUCAGACAUUGACUUAAUUAAAGAAGCAGUGCUUUUCCUUUUUUUUCAGGGAUUUACUUAUGUCGCUCCAUCAGUGUUGGAAUGUAUACAAAAAGAUAUUCUGAAACCAAGAUCUCCUAGAAAGAUAACGCAUCAGAGCCCAAGAAACCCAUUCAGUGCAAUGCGGCAACACUCACUACAAUUUGCAUUUGACGAGGAGUUAACCAAAAUGGGGGGAAACAGUCAUUCACUGGAAGCAAUGGAUACGAGUGAGCAUCACCAUUGAUGAGAGUGAUGGUCGCUGUGGAUAAGAGUGGAACUCAAUUUUAAGGAGUAAACCUUGGCUUUGAAGCGGUAGAAUGUCAGUACUGUACUGCUCAAUGUAGGAAUUGAAAAUUUGGAUCAAUAUUUUGGCUCUUGUAAUGUUAAGGUUACCAAGAUAUGACAUAUUUAUAAUAAAUGAUUGAUCAUGGAAAACCUUUUACCAUGCUGCAACAAUAAAGAUAAUUAUAAAUGUUGUUGAUUAAUUUUAAAGUAAAGAAGUAUUAGUAUAGUUAUUUUCCCUAGAUACCAAUGCUUGAAAUUUAGCUUAGUGUUUGAAUUAGUGUGUUAGUUAAGUUUGUUUUAAUUUAUUCAAUAUAAUGGUUUAUUUUAUAUUUUUGUUUCACUUUAAAAUAUUUCCAACAAAUUAGAAUACCCGACAGUGAUGUUAGUGUAGGCAGUAGGUCUUAUACAGUAUAUCAGUAUUGAGUUUAAAUUAUAACAAAUUAAAUGUUGGAAUUUUUGAAUUUUCGACCAAUAAUAAUCAUGCCAUAAAACCUUGAAUUGAAGCCCUGGACUUCUUUUUUUGCAAACUUUAAAUGGGUUUCUUUUCAAGGCUACUUUUGCAAAGUAAAGAGGGUGGCUUCUUUUCUAAAUGAGUGCUGUAAAUUUUGUGAAUUUGUACCAUAAAACAAUAAAUACGGCCACUGUAACGUCAA